GUUUCUGCCUGUCUUCUGUCCUUUCUUCGGGUUGAUGGUGGCUGUUUUCCUUCUCCGCGUCGUCCUAAGUCGGCAUCUCAGCCGAAUCCCCUUAUAUUUGGGGGAUUCAUCCUUUACCUUCCUGACCAAUGGCCUGAUUUUAUUCCAAGAUACUUGUGUUCAUUUCACACUUUGAGGAGAAAGACUGGCUGUUUCGUCAUAAGCUGCAGACUGUAUACAUUCCUAAUAUACAUUUAAUAGACACGUGUCAGGUAGCUAGAGAUGCGGUAAAUAAGCUCCGUCAACUAACUGCAGGCGCGAAGAUGCACAUCCUGUUCUAAACAUUUUAAUGGUUAUAAAGUACUAUGGAUACUGAAAAUACCCCUCCAAAUGACAAGAUUCCCUCGAGAUCUCUAAGCAGAGGCACCAUUUGAAACUUCGGAAGACUACUAGAUGGCAGCGAAACUCUCUCCCUCCUUCUGGUCAUCAGGCACUUGGUAGUACAGUUAUUAUAAAUCUUUUCCUAGGAUUCUUCCAGCACCUGCGCAUUCCCUUAUGCCACAUUGACAUCUCUGGAGCCAAUGCACUACUCCACAGAGAGUCUUUCGUGAUGGAUAUUGAUCUUACUGUUCUACCCCAGAGUCUGUGAAUGCAGAUAUUUUUCGGAACGGUUUAAUGAAAAGUUCUGGAUUCACAGCACGGAACAAAGUAGUAGUUUGGGCACCUCGGAGUCCUGGAAUUCGAUAAUCUUUCUUUUUGGGUGCUUCAUGCGGAACAUCUGGAGGAACACCUGGAGGAUGCGGUGCUGAAGACAUCUUACUGUGGCAGAAAUAUUUGGACUGUGUGACACUUCACUAGUAUCCUGUAUUCUAAUUGCAAUCUAAUUGACAAAUACAAAUAAUAAAAGUCCAUGUCUAUUAUUUCCCAAAUCUGGAAAAUGCAGUGAUGGGAUACCUCCUGGGGGUUGCUAGCCAAAAACCUUGAAUAAUUAUCCCAUUUUUCUUUCUUAGCAGCUUUCUGUCAAAACAAAACAAACAAAAAA